rnacentral:rRNA from 1 species
UACGGGAGGCAGCAGUGGGGAAUAUUGCACAAUGGGCGCAAGCCUGAUGCAGCCAUGCCGCGUGUAUGAAGAAGGCCUUCGGGUUGUAAAGUACUUUCAGUCGUGAGGAAGGUGUUAAGGUUAAUAACCUUAGCAAUUGACGUUAGCGACAGAAGAAGCACCGGCUAACUCCGUGCCAGCAGCCGCGGUAAUACGGAGGGUGCGAGCGUUAAUCGGAAUUACUGGGCGUAAAGGGCACGCAGGCGGUUAAUUAAGUUGGAUGUGAAAUCCCCGGGCUUAACCUGGGAAUGGCAUUCAAGACUGGUUAGCUAGAGUCUUGUAGAGGGGGUUAGGAUUCCAUGUGUAGCGGUGAAAUGCGUAGAGAUGUGGAGGAAUACCGGUGGGCGAAGGCGGCCCCUGGGACAAAGACUGACGCUCAUGUGCGAAAGCGUGGGGAGCAAACAGGGAUUAGAU